UACGGAGGGUGCAAGCAUUAAUCGGAUUUAUUGGGCGUAAAGGGCGCGUAGGCGGGAAUGUCAGUCAGAUGUGAAAUCCCGGGGCUCAACCCCGGAACUGCAUUUGAAACUACAUUUCUUGAGGGUAGGAGGAGAAAACGGAAUUCCACAAGUAGCGGUGAAAUGCGUAGAUAUGUGGAAGAACACCGGUGGCGAAGGCGGUUUUCUAUCUUAUUCCUGACGCUGAUGCGCGAAAGCAAGGGGAUCAAACAGG
rnacentral:rRNA from 1 species